rnacentral:rRNA from 1 species
UGGGGAAUUUUGGACAAUGGGGGAAACCCUGAUCCAGCCAUCCCGCGUGUGCGAUGAAGGCCUUCGGGUUGUAAAGCACUUUUGGCAGGAAAGAAACGUCAUGGGUUAAUACCCCGUGAAACUGACGGUACCUGCAGAAUAAGCACCGGCUAACUACGUGCCAGCAGCCGCGGUAAUACGUAGGGUGCAAGCGUUAAUCGGAAUUACUGGGCGUAAAGCGUGCGCAGGCGGUUCGGAAAGAAAGAUGUGAAAUCCCAGGGCUCAACUUUGGAACUGCAUUUUUAACUACCGGGCUAGAGUGUGUCAGAGGGAGGUGGAAUUCCGCGUGUAGCAGUGAAAUGCGUAGAUAUGCGGAGGAACACCGAUGGCGAAGGCAGCCUCCUGGGAUAACACUGACGCUAAUGCACGAAAGCGUGGGGAGCAAACAGG